rnacentral:rRNA from 1 species
UUAUUAGAGAGUUUGAUCCUGGCUCAGGAUGAACGCUGGCGGCGUGGAUAAGGCAUGCAAGUCAAGGGGGCCCGCAAGGGCAACCGGCGAACGAGCUAGUAUUACCUUGGUACCUCCCCCGAAGUCGGGUAUAGCUCAUCGAAAGAUGGGGUAAUACCCGAUAGUCUCGUGCUUCACUUUUGUUCAGCACGGAAAUCUUGAAUCUCUAAUCUCGAAUCUCUAAACAACCGUUUAGGAUUCAGAGAUUAGGGUUUAGGGUUUCUCGUGCCGAGCGAGAGUGAGGCACGAGUAAAGGAGCAAUCCGCUUCGGGAAGGGCCUCGGUCCGAUCAGCUAGUUGGUGGGGUAACGGCCUACCAAGGCAACGACCGGUAGGGGGCGUGAGGGCGCGACCCCCAGCGACGGAACUGCGACACGGUCCGUACACCUACGGGUGGCAGCAGUCGAGAAUAUUCGACAAUGGGCGAAAGCCUGAUCGAGCAACGCCGCGUGGUGGAAGAAGCCCUUCGGGGUGUAAACACCUUUUCCUGGGGAAGAACUUCGGUGACGGUACUCAGGGAAUAAGAGGUUGCUAACUCUGUGCCAGCAGCAGCGGUAAUACAGAGACCUCGAGCGUUAUCCGGAUUUAUUGGGCGUAAAGGGUCCGUAGGCGGCCCGGCACGUCCGUGGUGAAAGCCCCCGGCUCAACCGGGGAAUUGCUGCGGAUACGACCGGGCUUGAGAGCGCGAGGGGCCGAUGGAACUCACGGUGGAGGGGUGAAAUCCGUUGAGAUCGUGGGGAACACCAAAGGCGAAGGCAUUCGGCUGGCGCGACUCUGACGCUGAGGGACGAAAGCGUGGGGCGCGAAUGGGAUUAGAUACCCCAGUAGUCCACGCCCUAAACGAUGGACGCUAGCGAUGGUGAGUAUCGACCCUCUCCGUCGCGAAGCUAACGCGUGAAGCGUCCCGCCUGGGAAGUACGGCCGCAAGGCUAAAACUCAAAGGAAUAGACGGGGACUCGCACAAGCGGUGGAGCAUGUGGUUCAAUUCGAUAAUAAGCGAAGAACCUUACCAGGGUUUGACAUCCCCCUGCAAGCGCACGGAAACGUGUGACCUUCGAGGGUGGGGGACAGGUGCUGCAUGGUUGUCGUCAGCUCGUGUUGUGAAAUGUUCGGUUCAGUCCGGUAACGAGCGCAACCCCUGCCGUGUGUUACAUGUGUCACACGGGACUGCCCCGGCUAACGGGGAGGAAGGCGGGGAUGACGCCAAAUCCGCAUGGCCCUUAUGUCCUGGGCGACACACGUGCUACAGUGGCCGGUACAAUGGGUUGCCAAAGAGUAAUCUGGAGCGAAUCCCCAAAACCGGCCUCGGUUUGGAUCGAGGGCUGCAACUCGCCCUCGUGAAAACGGAAUCGCUAGUAAUCGUGGGUCAGCCACACCACGGUGAAUACGUUCUCGAGUCUUGUACUCACCGCCCGUCAAGCCAGUGAAGCCGGCGGUACCCGAAGAUCGCCUUGUGCGAUCGAAGGUAAAGUCGGUGACAAGGGCUAAGUCGUAACAAGGCAGCCGUAGCGGAAGCUGUGGCUGGAUCACCUCCUUU